GAUGAACGCUAGCUACAGGCUUAACACAUGCAAGUCGAGGGGAAACGAUAUUGGAAGCUUGCUUCCGAUAGGCGUCGACCGGCGCACGGGUGAGUAACGCGUAUCCAACCUGCCCACCACUUGGGGAUAACCUUGCGAAAGUAAGACUAAUACCCAAUGAUAUCUCUAGAAGACAUCCGAAGGAGAUUAAAGAUUUAUCGGUGAUGGAUGGGGAUGCGUCUGAUUAGCUUGUUGGCGGGGUAUCGGGCCACCAAGGCGACGAGCAGUAGGGGUUCUGAGAGGAAGGUCCCCCACAUUGGAACUGAGACACGGUCCAAACUCCUACGGGAGGCAGCAGUGAGGAAUAUUGGUCAAUGGACGAGAGUCUGAACCAGCCAAGUAGCGUGCAGGAUGACGGCCCUAUGGGUUGUAAACUGCUUUUAUAAGGGAAUAAAGUGAGCCUCGUGAGGCUUUUUGCAUGUACCUUAUGAAUAAGGACCGGUUAAUUCCGUGCCAGCCGCCGCAGUAA
rnacentral:rRNA from 1 species